rnacentral:lncRNA from 1 species
AUGGCCUGGGCCUGGUUCACCCCCUCCCCUGCGCCGGUGAAGUGGACACCCUGGCAGGGAGCAGGGCUGGAGUGGCAUGGGUGUGCAUGGGGGGUGAGGUGGGGUGAGUGCAGUCACCAAGGGGGCCGGCAGCUGUGCGGGUCCUGGGCCCUCACUCACAAUUGGAGGAAGGAAUGCAGGAAGUGCUCACAGCUGCUCAGACAUCUCAGAGCCUCGUCCCAGGCAGGACCAAGGCUGCAGUACCCUGGGAAUGAGUGUGCCAUGGCCUGGCCCCCGGGGUGGCCACCGGGCCAGGAGCCCACGGCACUGCAUACAGCCAGAGCUGUCCCUCGCGGAGCCCAGGCCCCCUGCAUCCAGGGAGUCUUGAGCUCACAUCUUUCAGGACAGUGCUUCUUCCAGAGCUGCCAGGGGAGUUGCCCAUGGCUCUUAGAAACCUGGCCCGAGGCUUAGAAAACAGUGACAGAGACCCCCUGAGAUCGGAGUAGAGCCAUGUGGGGCACCCAACGGCCCAGAGGGGGCACCAGCCAGGGCCUCAGACCGAUAUCUUCUUAGAAGACCACCGGGAGAGCAGCUGAAGGAGCAAGGGCACCUGCCAUCACCAAGAGCCCCUCGCUUCGGAUGGGGAGCUAAGGUCUGAGUGCAUCCCGGGUUGCUCAGUGGGUCAGUGGCCAAACGGGGCCAUGGAAACGGCAGUGAUUGGAAUGGUGGCCGUGCUAUUCGUGGUCACCGUGGCCAUCAGCUGCAUCCUCUGCUGUUUCAGCUGUGACUCAAGGACCCAGGAUUCUCAGGGGGGCCUACGCCCCAGCUUCACGGUGGCCACGUUUCGCCAGGAGGCUUCUCUCUCCACGGGGCCAGGUCACCAUGUCCAGCCAGUGGCGGGUGUCCGGGACUUCUGGACUUUCAUGUGAGACCUACCAGCCCCCAGGAUCUGCUCUGCUGGUGGUCAGACUCAUCUACCCCCCCAGCAAGCCUUCUCUGUUGACCCACUCCUUCAAGCCUGGCAUUCCGGUCCUUCCCUGCCUGUAUCCAGAAAACACCCUGUCCCAUCCCAUCCCAGCUUGCCGUGGCCUCCAGUCUGGGAGAUCCAUGGUGAUGGGACCAGCUGGGAGUCAGCUCUGACCCCUGAGAGCUCAGCUGGACCCAACCCACAGGAUGGGGCUUAGGAGAGGUCCGGAGCUUGAGUGACCGGGCAGAGUUGGAUGGUAUGGUGGGCCAGCUCUUCUGAGCUUCACGGUGAACUGAAAUAUCACUGGACUUUAUAGUGAACAGAGUGUUGGUUAACUCAAUUUAUCCCAGGAUGCCUAUGAAACUGGUUCUAUUGCCACCAGAGGAAGCAGCGCCCUCAGUGGACAGUUUUACAAACUUAUCUGUUCCUCUAAUUGAGUCAUUUUGCUACUUGCCUGUGCACAUCCUGCAGAGCCCACCCCUGAGAUUUGCCUCCUACCCGUUACCUGAAAUCAGCCCUGAAAUUCUGAAACCAAAGGGAUGCUUCCUGGGAACUGGCAAUGUAUUUUAUAAUUGAAAAUGCAUAUCCUUUUAUGGAUCUCCCAAGAAUCAGGGUUGGGGAAUCACAAAAGGAAACAGAAGAGAAAAAUAGAGUCACAGAAAGUACAAGAUGUUUUAUUAACAGGAAAGCCAGAAAGAAGACUUUGAAACAUAUUUUGAAUGAGACUUUAUUACUAUAUUCUUAUAGGUCACUUCUAUUCUUAGAGACUAAGUGACCUGUGUCACUCAGGAAUGAUAGAAAAAUGAUAGAACUCCAAAUGACAGAACUGAAAGUUAAUUUCGAAUAAGUUAAAAUGUUAUGUUAUAUUGACAGUAUGUAACAAAGCUCUUGUCUGCAUCACAAAUAAAUAGAUGUUCAGUUUUUAUUUAUAGAAAAUCUGUUUUCUCUGUACCCAUGAAAUAAAUGCCAGGCCAUAUUUAGCAUAUGGUUUGAAGGCUGCAGAAUUCUGAGUCUCCUGACUCGUGUCUCCAGCCAGCCCUGAAGGAAUGACUCUCCCAGGACGUGCCUGUUGAAGGGGGCAGGACUGACCUUGAGAGGAGGUCUGGCCUCUGAGGGUGCCCGGAUGGGCCACUCUGGCCACGUGGCUGCCAUAGGAAGGACUCUCAGAGAGAGAGGCUUAGGGCUGCAGAGGUGCAGAAGGGUGAGGGGACAGGGAGAGAGUCAGGCUGGUGGAGAGGCGUGGAGGCAGGUGGAGUGGGGUGAGCAUGGGGAGGGAAGAGGCACAGCCCAGGGACAGGAGCUCCUGGCGACCGCGUCUUGGUCACUCUGGACCCUAGAGCCCGCAAGCAGGGCCUUCAUAGAGCAUGUGGAGGGUACCGGCUGCAGGGAGGACCUGGAGGUCCUCAGUUGAGUGGAGUGAACUGUUCAGGUCAUGUUCUCUGAAAGUGAAGCCCAGACAGAGUUUGGGGUGCCAGAUGUUUAUAGGGAUCAGCAUGUGUGAGGGCAGGAGGAGGAAGCAGGAUUAGACAGAGGAAGGAGACAAAUAAUGAUGCAGGCCCUUAAUAUUCCCCCACCUUUGCUGUCUG